GUGCCAUCUUUAUUUCGUGGUAGAGAACUUUUCAGAGAUUCCCAAAUGGUUUUUUCCUUGAGCCGCGGGGAGAUACGCUUGUUUCGGUGUUCUGUAUAAUGUGUUAGAUCGAAUAAGCGCACACGCACACUUCAUGUGUCAUCAGUCACCUCCUGGGAAGGCAUAAGCAGCUCAAACGAAAGAGGGAUUUGUCAGGAAACAUGAUUUCUCGAUGUAUGGUGUACAUGUGUACCAAAUUGUACUCCCUCGGUUGCUAAAUACAUUUUCUUUUUUCACGAAGGUUGACUAGUAUGAGUUCUAUCAUAAAUGAAAUUUAUAUCUUGGGGAUCAUCCUUACAAAUUUUUGCUGAUAAUUAUGAUUUCGUAUCAUAAAGAUUAAAUAUUGACAGAGUUAUCAUUGAUCCAAUUAUUGCUUAGAAACCAAGUACGUCAACAUUUAUGAAAAGGAAGGGUGUGCAUGAUCGCCUGGCAGCUUGGUGGUUGUUGGGAAGAAAGAGAGGAAAAACCUAAACAUUGCGAUUAGCUUGGUGUGCUGGAGUAUAUGGAAACAUAGAAACACAGUGGUUUUUGACAGGGUGACUCCAAGUGCGCUUCACAUCCUUCGCGCGAUUGGCCAGGAGCACAGGCGGAGCUAGCAGGGUGGCACGGUGGGGCGUGACCACCCUAAGAAAUAGGUACACGUUCAUAUAGUAUUGUUAUCAGAAAAAGUGAAAUGCCUGGAAAAGAGCCCAUCAUUAGGAUCUGCAGCCCAACAGAUCGUAUUCUACGCUAACUCUUAACUGCACGGCUGCACUUCCAUCUCGCGAUCACUCGUACGAUGCCCGGCCAGCGCUCAACUCUUCGUCUUUCCUGUACGUAAGGAACAUCUAAAUCCCCAAUUCGGCAAUUCUUCAUUACGGCCAGGCCAAACCUAGGCUGCUCACCAGAUCAAAGUUUCAGUCAUGCGCCUCUCUGCUUGCCGGGAGCCGCAGACUUCAGACGCUGCCGGCAGAGCAGGACGCGAGGAGCAGCACCACGUCGUCGCCGGUCAAAACAUGACGCUUCCAAUCUUUGGCGGUGAAUCGGGUUCGUUGAGCUAUAAAGCUUAACCUAAGGUGCGAUUAUGUGAGAAUUGAGAUGAUUGGGUGUUGCUUUAUUGAUUGAUAAUUCUUAAUUCAGAUCAGCAACCGGUUCAGAUUGUGUCGAUGAUUUUUUAGAGUACUUCCGUAAAUUUUAUCACUGAUAGCACUAAUUUGCUAUCAAAUAUCUAUGCCAGAUAUAAACAAGAGAAUUGAUAAUUUGAAGCUUUCAGACACAAGCCUGAGACAAAGAAAAAAAAAAGACCAGGUUGAGUUCAUCUUUGAAGGUGCGCUGCAUUUGUAGAGUGAUGGAUUGAUGCCAUUGAAUAUGAAGUCAGUACGUGUCUUCCAGAUAGUCUAAUUGACCGCAGUGAUUAUUUCCAUAUGAAAAGGGACUUGAAGCUCUUGUUUGAUGCCCAUGAUGUUGUCAUGAACAGAUUGUUGGGGCAUGAACGCAGGGCAAAUAUAUCUCUAGCAUGUCAAUGCAAAGGGGCAGGAGAAGAAUAGGUGGUCCCUGGUUUUCAAUAUUCGUUGAUUGCAAAGGAUGCAAUUGUAAUCUUGGAGAUGGAAGUUCUUCUUCAAGAGCAUGGCCAGUGUGUUUAGUCGAUCAAUCAAGAGGAGCCACAUGAAAACUUUAUGCUUGAGUUGGCAACAAGAUGACCAGUUCCACUUGAGUGACAUGGGAAUGUCAAGUGCAAUGAGAGUUUGGUAGGUCUUCGCAGUGGAAUAGUCUGGAUUGGUCCAUGGGUAUAGCCAUGCAUCUUCUUCAUCUGUUCUGUUCAUGUUUGCCACAAGUUGUGUGAAUUCCUGAAAUUGUUGGUGGGCUUCAGCAGAUAGUGGCAGGUGAAACAGAUCAGUGAGAUCUUGGUAGUUGGCAAUGUCCCAGUUAGUGGAGAACUGGUUGAUGACAAAUGAAUGAAGUUGAGGCCAGGUGUCGGCAAGUGGAUAAUCAUUCCAUCUAUCCUGCCAAAAAAGGACAGUUUUUCCUCCUUGCUGGGCUCUGCAAUUUGCAAUGCCUUUGUAUGUAUUUAGUUGCUUCAAUGUGUCCUUCCACCGGAAUGAAGCCUCUGGUGUGGUAUUUAGUUUUUUUUGAAAUGAGGAUAACAUACUACCUC